UUUUUUUUUUUUUAAUUAAAGUAAUUGAACUAAGUUAAGAAUGUAGUACUUAAGAUUUAUCGGACAAGGUAUAAUUAUGAACUGGGAAAUUAACUUGCCUGCAUUAUUGUAGUCUUGCUGUACCUGCAGACGUGUGAUUGAUAAGAAUCAUCCCCUUGUAAUAGUUCAUAAGUAUUCCAUUUUCCCUUUUAAUGAAUGAAUGUUUGG
rnacentral:misc_RNA from 1 species